UACAGAGGUGGCAAGCGUUGUUCGGAAUUACUGGGCGUAAAGGGCGCGUAGGCGGUCUUUCAAGUCCCGUGUGAAAUCCCUCGGCUCAACUGAGGAACUGCACGGGAAACUGUCUGGCUUGAGUUCGGGAGAGGGAAGCGGAAUUCCGGGUGUAGCGGUGAAAUGCGUAGAUAUCCGGAGGAACACCGGUGGCGAAGGCGGCAUCCUGGACCGGCAUUGACGCUGAGGAGCGAAGCCAGGAGCAACGG
rnacentral:rRNA from 1 species